UUUUUUUUUUUUUUUUUUUUAAGAAAAUUAACACAGUGUAGGCCAGGCAUGGUGGCUCAAGCCUGUAAUCCCAAACACUUUGGGAGGCCGAGGCAGGCGUAUCACUUGAGGUCAGAAGUUCAAGACCAGCCUGGCCAACGUGGUAAAACCCCAUCUCUACUAAAACAAAAAUUAGCCAGGCGUGGUGCAGGGCGCCUGUAAUCCCAGCUAGUUGGUAGGAAGGAGAAUGGCUUGGACCCGGGAGACAGAGAUUGUGGUGAGCCAAGAUAGGUUACUGCACUCCAGCCUGGGUGACAGAGCAAGACUCUGUCUCGAAGGAAAAAAAAAAAAGAAAGAAAGAAAAUUAACACAGUGUCAGUCAAAACUAUAGUAGUUUUACAGGAAAGUUACCAAAUUAUUUUCGCUUAUCCAAGAGAAAAAUGAUGCAGAAGUAGCCCAGAAAAAUUCUGAAAAAAAUAAUAAUGAUAACGAUGCUCAACCACACACAACAAUUUAUUAUACAGCUCUGAUAAUUAAAACAGCAUGGCAGUAGAACUAGAAUAGACAGGCAUGUCCACAGACGUGUCGUGGAAAAUAAUAAAACAUCUGAAAACAAAACAAAUACUCAAAACAAAUUCAUUUAUUCCAACAUUUAUUGAGUGCCUGCUAUGUAUGGGCGCUAUGGAUGGUUACUUGAUGGCAAAAUCAAAAAGUGAAUGUCAGACCAAAGGGUUAAGUAUUCAAUAACUGGCUGUGUGGGGAAAAAGAUAUUUUUCUCACAUUUUACACUCAAGUACAUCUCGAACACUUAAUUAUAUACAACUCCUAGCACUACUAGAAUAAAACAGGUGAAUAUUUACAUACAAUUUUAUGAUGGGAAAUAUGCAAGUUCGAAACAAGCAUUGUGAAAUAUGUUAAUUUAAAUGUUAACAGGGCAUAAACUACUGACUAGCUAAGUAAUGGAUGGUCAUGCAGUCAUUAAAUUGUUGAUGAAGAAGUGUCUUUACUGGCAUUGAAAAAGUUAUAAAAAUGAUGUGUACCUAAAUAUAGGUAUCAAAGAAGACAUACACAGAACAUCUAUCCCAUAAGAACAUCAUUACUCUUCAAACUAAUCUAUAUAGUUAAUGCAUGACCUCAAUCAAAGGAGGGUUUUUCAUGGAGCAGAACUCUAAAAUGUCUAUGGAAAAGCAAAAUGCAGAGAGUAGGGAUGAUUUUAAAGAAGAAAAAGAAAAGGAGACUUAAACUACCAGACACUGAGACACAAUAAAGAAAUAAAGACAUAUUUAAAAAGUAUGAUGGUAGCUCAUACCCGUAAUCCCAGCAUUUUGGGAGGCCAAGGCAUGAGGCACUUAUGGCGCCUGGCCUUAAUCUUCUCAGAGUUCCAUUUCCCUUGGAACCUGACUUGCAACAGACACAAUGUAUAUCCUGUUUUAAAACAUGUACCAUAAUACAAUUUAUGUUGUGAAACAGUAUUAUUUAUGUUUGGGAAUGCAUGUGUAUUUUGUAAAAUUGUAAAAGCAUGCACCAGAAUGAUGAACACCAAAUUCAAGAGAGAAGUUACUUCUGGAAGGUAGAAAGGAGGACAGGCUUGUGGAAGCACAUACACAAUGUUUUAAUAACUACAUUACAUUUUCAUUCUUAUACUGGACACUGUAUACAUACAUAUCGGUUAGAGUAUUCCUUAUGCUCCCUUUGUAUAUCCGAAAUAAUUCCAUGACUUUUUAAAGUAACCUAAAAGGAACAGCUUGCCCUUGUAUCAACCAUUCUUCACUUUUUUUCUGCUGCAAUAAACAAAUGGAUGACAUUCAUGUGGCCAACAGAGAAUAAUGGGUGUUCCCACAUUUUGAAACAAGAACAAAUUUCCUGUUGGAAAUUUAAAAAAAAAAAAAAACAGGGCUACAGAGUUCUUUUUGCUUGCUUUUUUUUUUUUUUAAUGUGGCAAUCUUGAGAAGUAUUUACAAGUUUGUAAUUCUAUACCGUGUACUAGCAAUGAUCACUUUAAACAGGCUGCUACAGAGAUAAUAUAAAAUUAUGCAUAAUUUCUACAGUAAUUCCACUUCCCUUUCUUCUGCUCAAGAAAUUAGUGGAUUUCAAGUGACUGAGAGUGAAAUUAUAGUGAUAACUUUGACUUUGUCAAGUUUCACACAUCGUGGUGCCAUGAUUUGAGCCAGGGCAGUCUGACUCUGAAUUUGAACAGUGUUUAAUUGCCAGGAACAAACCACAGGGAAAACUUCUAAACAGAAGGAUACAGAGCAAAAGGAAAUGCCUAGGAUUGUUCUUUCUAAAUUCUCAACAUUUCCCAAUACAAAAAGUAUUAUGGUAUAAUUACAGUUCUAUAAAACAAUGUGCUUUAUGUAUAAUACAAAUACUACUAAAACAGAUUACCUGAACAUUGUAAAUUGAAGGACACAUUCACAAAACUGAGAUACAACUGGAUUUUUCCCUAAAUUUGUUAGGUAAUUCCACAAUUGUCAAUUCCACUCUGUUUGUUGAGAUCUGGUCUUGGUUUCAAAUUUUAAAAUUUCACUGUAUAAUAAAAUGAGUUCCAUGUCCCUAGGGUUGGGCCACGGAAACAAUGUUUUUCUCUGUUCCCACCCAAUGUGAGCUAUGUAUGACAGCAACACAUCACGAAUAAAAGGAUCUAGAAGCUCAAAAUAAGAGGGAAAAAAAGUAUGUGGGAGGGGAGCAGGAUGAAAAGAUUAAAAUAUUUUCUAACUCACUAAUUUGAAGCAAACAGGUUUUGUACAUAUCCAAGGCACUGAGCACAAACAAUUCAACUUCAACCAAUGUUACUUAUUCAGGACUACUACUAAGAAACUAAAUUUUAAGUUCUAUAUUUGUUUAAUAUAAAAAAUUUAUAAUACGGUUACAAAAGAGAAGGAAAACAUAACAAAUAUAUCAACAUGGUCAGACAUUGACUAAUAAAGGAUUGUUGACUGGGAAUGAAAUAUGUAACACUCUGUUAACAAAGCUUUUCAUACCUUAAAGGAAUUUUAUACGUAAUCCCUCCCUGUUAACCCAUUAUGUGUUUCGAGUUCCUCUUUCUCCUGACACUGUCAAAAAACCUUUUUCUUUAACGUUUUCCCAGUAAUCCGUUUAUUCCUAAAUUUUCAGCGACAUUUUAGAAAGAAAUCCAAACCUCAGCUCAGGUUAACAUCUAUACAGGCACUCCCUCUUGUGGUACAAAGGGAAACUGCCUGUUUACUCUAGCACUCAAGCCCAAGAAAUUCUUCGAAUUGAAAGCACUGAAGCAGGUUCUUUAUUGUCUUCAUUUUAUAGACCAGGAAACAGCACAACUGAGGUCCAGCAACUUACUUCCUCGAGGCAUCACAACCAGAGGACUGAGAUUCAGCUCAGAUGUCUGAUAUCCCUAUCCCAAGGCCAUGCACUUUGCACCACACCUCAUGACCUACAGCAUCUAUAUACCGUGUUCUUUUUGUUACCAAAUUUCCAAGAAUACAUGUAAAGCAAGUAGCAACCACAUAUUACUGAAAGAUGCAUUUAAUGCAAUAAGAAGAAUCUAAUUUUAAACUUCUACUGUUUUGAUGUAGUUUCAAAGCAGCUGCUUAGCUAGUAUUUUCAGUUUAAUAUAUUCGUGAUCAUUAACAAAACAGCAAAGUGAAUAAUGGGCAUAAAUUGUCCUAAGGAGAAUCAUUUUCCACAUUUAUUUUUCAAUAUUAUCAAAACAUAUGUAAUUUUUUUUUCUUUUUUUCUGAGACAGAAUCUUGCUCCAUUGCCCAGG
rnacentral:lncRNA from 1 species